rnacentral:tRNA from 1 species
GUCCUCGUAGUAUAACAAAUUACACUGGCCUUGUAAACCAGAAAUGAAACACAUGCUUCCUAGGACA